CUUGUGCCAGAGGAUAGUUUUUAAAAUAUAAAUUAAACAUGGAACAUCUUUUUGAAACAUUAGCUCACCUCCAAAUUUGGCAGAGGUGUUUUUAUAUUAAAACAAAGAUUUAUUAUGGAGUCGAUUACAAAAUUUGCAUGAAUUUUUAGGUGAAAGACUGAGUCUCUUAUUUCAAAGACUUCAGAUAGAGAGAGGGCAGGACGAGGUUGGGCUGUAACCAGGAGUUGACCUUUCCAGGUCUCUGAAUGCUUGUAACCAGUUUAUAACCCCAGGCUGGAGACUGAAGGUUUCUUCUUGGAGAAAGUCCCAGAGAAGAGGCAAUCUUUAAUAACAUUUGGGGAACCCACCCUCAAGUAAGAAAGCAGGGUUCCCACCUCAUCUGUUGUUUCUGCCCUACUAGUAAACACUAAUGAACAGGACAGAAUCGCCAGAGUCUUGGACAUGAGGGGUUUGCCCUCAGUUCUAUGUCUACCUCCUUGAAGUCUGUCUUGCUGUACUCUAAAACCUGGAAAGCUAAAAGUGACAUUUCCCAGAUUUCCUUGCAACCAGGGUAUGAGAAGAGAUUUGGGUUCCAUCAAUAGGAGGCAUCUGGCAAUUUUGGAAGGUGGAAGGGAGGUAGAGGUCAUCUUCCUAAUGCUUAGGGCUAUCUUUUCUGCCAGCAAGCAAGGUGAUGAAAGCUUCAGACAACAGUCUUCCCAGGACCAGUCUCCAGCUUUGUGAGAGGUGGUAGUGAGCUGUUGCAGUGAACUGGGCCCUGGAUCACAUCUUUGACAAAAUGUUCGUGAAUUCAAUUCUUCCUGUUACAGCCUCCUGUCUCCCUGCCCCACUGGAUAUGGCAAAGGGAAGCCCACUGCCAUGUUGCAAGCUGUCCUGUGAAGAGGCCUCCAUGACAAGGAACUGUAGGGUCCCCUGGACAACAGCCAGCAAGGCAAUGAGACCCUUAGUCCAAUAGCCCACGAGGAACUGCAUCUUGCCAAGAACCACACAGAUGAGGUUGCAAAAAUAUUUAUUGAGCACCGGUGAUGUUCCAGGCGUGGUUUUUGGUGCUAGCAGGAGAGAAAACAACACCUGUGGCCUAAAGAGCUCAACCUGACCUGAAGAACUCAAGGGAAUCUUGAACUUGAGUGAGGCAGAAAAUGCAUCUUCCUUUUCACUAAACUUGCAAAAAUAUAGCAUUUUCUUCAAUUAUGAAUUUAGGCAACAAACCACACUAGUAUUAGCAGUGCCUGUGGCUUUGUUAUUAAUAAAAAUAAGUCUUUUCACAUCACAUUAUAGUUCUUUUGUAGGUCUAGAAAUAUUUAUUGGAAAUAGCAUUACCUUAAAAGUAGAAAUUGGGAGGCCACUUUUAGAUUCUGUUAUUUUAUGAAUUAACAAAUAAGCAUAUGUAAUCCUUGUAUCAUAAUUUUGAGGUUUCUUUUACAUUUUG
rnacentral:lncRNA from 1 species